rnacentral:rRNA from 1 species
GGGCUUAACACAUGCAAGUCGAGGGGCAUCAGGAAGAAUGCUUGCUUUCUUUGCUGGCGACCGGCGCGCGGGUGAGUAACACGUAUCCAACCUGCCCUUUACUCGGGGAUAGCCUUUCAAAAGAAAGAUUAAUACCCGAUAGCAUAAUGAUUCCGCAUGGUUUCAUUAUUAAAGGAUUCCGGUAAAGGAUGGGGAUGCGUUCCAUUAGGUUGUUGGUGAGGUAACGGCCCACCAAGCCUUCGAUGGAUAGGGGUUCUGAGAGGAAGGUCCCCCACAUUGGAACUGAGACACGGUCCAAACUCCUACGGGAGGCAGCAGUGAGGAAUAUUGGUCAAUGGGCGCUAGCCUGAACCAGCCAAGUAGCGUGAAGGAUGAAGGCUCUAUGGGUCGUAAACUUCUUUUAUAUAAGAAUAAAGUGCAGGAUGUAUACUGUUUUGUAUGUAUUAUAUGAAUAAGGAUCGGCUAACUCCGUGCCAGCAGCCGCGGUAAUACGGAGGAUCCGAGCGUUAUCCGGAUUUAUUGGGUUUAAAGGGAGCGAAGGUGGACUGGUAAGUCAGUUGUGAAAGUUUGCGGCUCAACCGUAAAAUUGCAGUUGAUACUGUCAGUCUUGAGUACAGUAGAGGUGGGCGGAAUUCGUGGGGUAGCGGUGAAAUGCUUAGAUGUCACGAAAAAACUCCGAUUGCGAAGGCAGCUCAUUGGACUGCAACUGACAAUGAUGCUCGAAAGUGUGGGUAUCAAACAGGAUUAGAUACCCUGGUAGUCCACACAGUAAACGAUGAAUACUCGCUGUUUGCGAUAUACAGUAAGCGGCCAAGCGAAAGCAUUAAGUAUUCCACCUGGGGAGUACGCCGGCAACGGUGAAACUCAAAGGAAUUGACGGGGGCCCGCACAAGCGGAGGAACAUGUGGUUUAAUUCGAUGAUACGCGAGGAACCUUACCCGGGCUUAAAUUGCAGUGGAAUGAUGUGGAAACAUGUCAGUGAGCAAUCACCGCUGUGAAGGUGCUGCAUGGUUGUCGUCAGCUCGUGCCGUGAGGUGUCGGCUUAAGUGCCAUAACGAGCGCAACCCUUAUCUUUAGUUACUAACAGGUUAUGCUGAGGACUCUAGAGAGACUGCCGUCGUAAGAUGUGAGGAAGGUGGGGAUGACGUCAAAUCAGCACGGCCCUUACGUCCGGGGCUACACACGUGUUACAAUGGGGGGUACAGAAGGCAGCUAGCGGGUGACCGUAUGCUAAUCCCAAAAUCCUCUCUCAGUUCGGAUCGAAGUCUGCAACCCGACUUCGUGAAGCUGGAUUCGCUAGUAAUCGCGCAUCAGCCACGGCGCGGUGAAUACGUUCCCGGGCCUUGUACACACCGCCCGUCAAGCCAUGGGAGCCGGGGGUACCUGAAGUACGUAACCGCAAGGAUCGUCCUAGGGUAAAACUGGUGACUGGGG